rnacentral:rRNA from 1 species
GAAUUACGAGCCCAAGCUUAAAACCCAAAGGACUUGACGGUGUUCCACCCACCUAGAGGAGCCUGUUCUAUAAUCGAUUUUCCCCGAUCAACCCCGCCAUCUUUUGAAUACUCAGCCUGUAUACCUCCGUCGCAAGCUUACCCUAUGAAUGCACUCAGUGAGCCCAAUGAUUUAACACCCACACGUCAGGUCAAGGUGCAGCCCACAAGAUGGAAAGAAAUGGGCUACAAUUUCUACCCUAGAACAAACGAAAGACUACAUGAAACACAGCCACUGAAGGCGGAUUUAGUAGUAAAAAGAAAAUAGAGAGUUCUUUUUAAUCAGGCACUGGAACGCGUACACACCGCCCGUCACCCUCUUCAAACACAAAUAUUAUGUUAUUGACACCACACACAAAACAGAAGAGGUAAGUCGUAACACGGUAAGCGUACUGGAAAGUGCGCUUGGAAUAACAAAAUGUAACUUAAUAAAAGUAUCUUGCUUACACCAAGAACAUGUCUGUGAAACCCCCGACCAUCUUGAGCUUAAAGCCCAGCCCCACUAAACUUAAUGAAACCAGC